rnacentral:rRNA from 1 species
GAAGAACGCUGGCGGCGUGCCUAAUACAUGCAAGUCGAGCGAAUGGAUUAAGAGCUUGCUCUUAUGAAGUUAGCGGCGGACGGGUGAGUAACACGUGGGUAACCUGCCCAUAAGACUGGGAUAACUCCGGGAAACCGGGGCUAAUACCGGAUAACAUUCUGAACCGCAUGGUUCGAAAUUGAAAGGCGGCUUCGGCUGUCACUUAUGGAUGGACCCGCGUCGCAUUAGCUAGUUGGUGAGGUAACGGCUCACCAAGGCAACGAUGCGUAGCCGACCUGAGAGGGUGAUCGGACACACUGGGACUGGGACACGGCCCAGACUCCUACGGGAGGCAGCAGUAGGGAAUCUUCCGUAAUGGACGAAGGUCUGACGGAGCAACGCCGCGUGAGUGAUGAAGGCUUUCGGGUCGUAAAACUCUGUUGUUAGGGAAGAACAAGUGCUAGUUGAAUAAGCUGGCACCUUGACGGUACCUAACCAGAAAGCCACGGCUAACUACGUGCCAGCCGCCGCCGUAA